UUUCCGUAGGUGAACCUGCGGAAGGAUCAUUAACAAGUAAUGGUCUUUCUGGCCCGACCUCCAACCCUUUGUGUAAUUACUAUGUUUCUUUAGCAGGCCCUUUUCGCGAUCGCCGGAAGUCCGCGGACUUCUCCUCCGUGCCAUCCAGUAACCUUCUACAAAUUCUUGAUCAAUUGUGAUUUCUGAGUAAUAAAUUUAAUAGUUAAAACUUUCAACAACGGACCUCUUGGUUCUG
rnacentral:misc_RNA from 1 species